rnacentral:ncRNA from 2 species
CAAGACCACAAGGGGAGUCAAUUGGCUGAGAGUGGAUGAAGAGUCCUGACCCUUAUGACCGGUUAGUUCAUGCUAACGUCGGGAUGUGGCUGUUCAUGGAU